rnacentral:rRNA from 1 species
UACGGGGGGGGCAAGCGUUGUUCGGAAUUACUGGGCGUAAAGGGCUCGUAGGCGGCCAACUAAGUCCGACGUGAAAUCCCCAGGCUUAACCUGGGAACUGCGUCGGAUACUGGAUGGCUUGAAUUCGGGAGAGGGAUGCAGAAUCCAGGUGUAGCGGUGAAAUGCGUAGAUAUCAGGAGGAACACCGGUGGCGAAGGCGGAUCUCUGGGCCAUUACUGACGCUGAGGAGCGAAAAGCGUGGGGGAGCGAACAGG